GCAAGUAUAAUUUAAAGGUAAAAUACUAGUCUUCCAAACUAAAUUUACGGGUUCAAUUCCCGUUACUUGCU
rnacentral:tRNA from 1 species